CGAUCUGGCUCAGGAUUAACGCUGGCGGCGUGCCUAAUACAUGCAAGUCGAAUGGUAGUAGCAAUACAAACCAUGGCGAACGGGUGAGUAACACGUAGGUAACCUGUCUUUAAGACGAGGAUAACCAUUGGAAACGAUGGAUAAUACUGGAUAGGACAUCAUAAAGGGCAUCCUUAGAUGUUUAAAGAUUAUAAUGUCACUUAGAGAGGGGCCUGCGGCGCAUUAGCUAGUUGGUGAGGUAAGAGCCCACCAAGGCGAUGAUGCGUAGCCGGACUGAGAGGUUGAACGGCCACAAUGGAACUGAGAACGGCCAUACUCCUACGGGAGGCAGCAGUAGGGAAUUUUCGGCAAUGGGCGCAAGCCCUGACCGAGCAACGCCGCGUGAACGAAGAAGUUAUUCGUAAUGUAAAGUUUCUUUUAUCUGGGAAAGAAAAAACAAAUUGACGGUACCAGAUGAAUAAGCUCCGGCUAACUACGUGCCAGCCGCCGC
rnacentral:rRNA from 1 species